AUGGUGCUACGCAGUUGUGGUGGGCGCCGGAAACCCUACCUGUUGGAGCGCGGCCAUGGCGACCGACCGCAAGCGCAGGACUUGGACUUGGACAACGGUGGUAUGGUAGGCGUCAUGGAGUGGAGCUUGCUCUGUCCUGGCGCCAUGGAUUCUUUUUCGCGUGAAGCUCUUUCUUCCUCCAGCACAAGAAUGUACAAGCAACAUCCAAGGACGGACCCGGCGGAAAACCCAUGGUGCCAUCUGCGUGCUAAUUUGUCGAGCUUUCCUUUUGAUUUCACGGGUGCCCAGAAUUUGAAAAAGAUGAAGCGUAGAAGCAAAAUCGGAAAAGAAAUCAUUGCUGCGGAGAAGGUGGUGCUGGGGAUCUUGAAGACGGUGAAGAACCCGCGCAGCGCCGUGCUCAAGACCUCUAUGAUGGCCAUUCAUGCUUCGCAAAGCUAA
rnacentral:rRNA from 1 species